AAGACUUUUGAACCAGGCCCUGGUUGCACUGAAAACAAAGACCAUGCCUAGGAACAGCAACUCCAAAUCUCGUAGUCAGUCGCGAGUACGCCCUUAGAGCAGAGGUCAGAACAGAUUUGUAAAAAACGCUAGAAAUCAUUCAGAAUUGUGGCGGCACCUUCACAUUGACGGACCUAAAUCACGGCAUCCAAUCGACUCAGAAAGGUCUUGCCAACCAGUCCAUUUUGACUUUCCAGGAUUUUACUCCGUGUACUGCCUUGCGAAGAAUGAAGAAGGCCAUGGGCGCGCCAGUAGUGGAGUCUCAGUGUUUUACAUUAGAAUGCUGUGGACUUAAUCAUGCAGAGGACAACAUCAUAGCUUUAUGUGACCCUAAAAUACGACUUGUAGCGGCGUAUGUACGACCAAAUAACAAGAUGUGCACUUUGAUUUUGGUAGAGAAUAUUGUUGACAGCCUACAGGUCGUAUCCGUUUACCUCGAAUCAAACGUUAGCCCUUUGAAACACACUAAAUAAUUAUUGCUGAGUAGGUAACCUUGGCAAGGUACUGACGUUUGCCGAUCUUGCAGGAAGUUCUGUCGUACGUAACAAAAGCUAGUAGGCGUAAAGUCAAUUAUGUUGACAAGAAACAUUUUCUCUGGGUUAGACCUUGAGGUUCUCUUCGAGAGUGGGAUUCGAAGAAACUCCUAGAACGGAACCUUAUUAACUUUUCCCAGAUUGACAUUGAGGUUUAUGCGUAUCAUCCCGUCGACAUCCUGCAAUGUUCGGUUCACCCAGCUCGCCCUAGUAGACACCAAUCGUGGCUCGAUUACAAUUUCCUACGCUUUUCGUACCCAAAAUGCAUCUGAGCUACAUCACAACCACCAGCAGGACUACCAAUCAUAAUGUUCGAAGCAAUCUGCUGGAGGAUCUAGGCCGCCCAACGCAAGAGAUAUUUACAAAAACAGGAAGCUAUUUUCGUAAAACAGGCCAAGCAUCAGCCAUAUAAAUGAAUAGGUGCCAACAACCUACGUUGUAUUCCGCCGUUUCCUCGGUGCUCAUCGACCACUUCGUUGGAUGGUUCUUAUUUAGUGACACCGUGCCUUAAGGAGUCUCACCGCGCAGCGCAUCGACCGCAAAGCAAGUCGACAACGGGUAAACCCGAAAGACUAAGCCAGGAAUUCUCCGUUUUGGAAGGUACUUAAGCGCUCAAAGGACUACAUUUAAAAACGAACGUAGGACCGGAGAGUAUUCAGAAUGAAUACUUAAGGCCGCCAUGGUAAUGGCACGGCACUGGACGGCUUUGUUCAACGUAUAUAUUCCUUUUGGACUGAUUUCUUCUAAUUGGCUGGAUGCAACGCUUUUCGUUAUCCCAAAAGACAAAGGCGACCCAAGCUGACAAACUUCGUGGCGCGAGAUCGUAAGAAAAAGCGUCUGCUAUAAUCUUUUCCUAUACGUGCCGGUAAAAAAAAAUAAACGUGUUCCUGAAAGGUAUGAGUGACUCAAGGAGCAACACAGAUCUAGGAGAGAGCGUUCAACCGAAACAGCAAGAUCCUACCUGCCAGUGUCAAACGAAUCCAGCGAUACUCCAGAAGAACAGGUUUACAGAUGACGAUGGAAGUACUACCAGCGUUCUUCCUGAUCACAGGCUGACGAGAUAACUCCGGCAAGACAGCAGGGAUGUUUUUGUUAUUCUAAAUGAGAAUGGGGAUCUCAGUUAUAUCUUGAGAUACGUAAUAUCGAAUCACGGAUUUUUUACAAGGAAAAAAAUGCCAUCACCGGGACAGGAAAAAAAAUUACAGGACGAGAGGUGCUACAACAGAAAAUUACUCAUUGACGGGGAGUAUUCUGUACACGAAUGAAUCAACCGUAGAACGAAACUACCUUAAGGUCAAUGUGUCAUCGGGGGGCUGCGGAGGAACAAGACUGUCGUAUGGCUUCACGCCAAGGGAAGUUCCCUUGGUGUGGAGUGGAAUGAGCUCCUCCUGAAUAAGUGGAAGAUUAAUGAGAAGGUGCGAAGUCAUCAAAAUGGAGCCACUAUAGAUUUCAGCUUGUGUCAUUGACAAGGCUUCAUGUGUACCCAAAGUUCUUAAAAUAAUACUUUUAAAGCAACUGCUCAAGGUCUUG